rnacentral:rRNA from 1 species
AUUGAACGCUGGCGGCAGGCCUAACACAUGCAAGUCGAGCGGAGCGGCGGCCGCGUGAGUAAUGCCUAGGAAUCUGCCUGGUAGUGGGGGAUAACGUUCGGAAAUGGGCGCUAACUCCGCAUACUCUCAGUUUAGCCUAGGCCGGAUUAGCUAGUUGGUGGGGUAAAGGCCUACAAGGGCCACGAUCGGUAACUGGCCGGAGAGGAUGAUCAGUCACAUUGGAACUGAGACACGGUCCAUACUCCGACGGGAGGCAGCAGUGGGGAAUAUUGGACAAUGGGCAAAAGCCGGAUGCAGCCAUGCCGCGUGUGUGAAGAAGGUCUUCGGAUUGUAAAGCACUUUAAGUUGGGAGGCGUUACCAGCAGAAUAAGCACCGGCUAACUUCGUGCCAGCCGCCGCGGUAAUUC